GGGUCAGUAGGUUGGUCGUGCCACCGGUACGUACUGGUCUAACUGAUUCCUCCUUCCUGAAGAACCGUAAUGCCAUUAAUUUGGUGUUGCGGGGAAACAGGACUGUUACUUCGAAAAAAUUAGAGUGUUUAAAGCAAGCUAACGCUUGAAUACAUUAGCAUGGAAUAAUGAAAUAGGACGAUCGAUCCUAUUUUGUUGGUUUCUAGGAUUGACGUA
rnacentral:rRNA from 1 species